rnacentral:rRNA from 1 species
GACGAACGCUGGCGGCGUGCUUAACACAUGCAAGUCGAACGGUAAGGCCCUUCGGGGUACACGAGUGGCGAACGGGUGAGUAACACGUGGGUGAUCUGCCCUGCACUUCGGGAUAAGCCUGGGAAACUGGGUCUAAUACCGGAUAGGACCACUGCCUGCAUGGGUGGUGGUGGAAAGCUUUUGCGGUGUGGGAUGGGCCCGCGGCCUAUCAGCUUGUUGGUGGGGUGAUGGCCUACCAAGGCGACGACGGGUAGCCGGCCUGAGAGGGUGACCGGCCACACUGGGACUGAGAUACGGCCCAGACUCCUACGGGGGGCAGCAGUGGGGAAUAUUGCACAAUGGGCGCAAGCCUGAUGCAGCGACUCCGCGUGGGGGAUGACGGCCUUCGGGUUGUAAACCUCUUUCAGCACCGACGAAGCGCAAGUGACGGUAGGUGCAGAAGAAGGACCGGCCAACUACGUGCCAGCCGCCGCGGUAA